AACGAACGCUGGCGGCAGGCCUAACACAUGCAAGUCGAACGCCUCAGCAAUGGGGAGUGGCAGACGGGUGAGUAACACGUGGGAACGUACCCUUCGGUUCGGAAUAACUCAGGGAAACUUGAGCUAAUACCGGAUACGUCCGAGAGGAGAAAGAUUUAUCGCCGAAGGAUCGGCCCGCGUCUGAUUAGCUUGUUGGUGAGGUAACGGCUCACCAAGGCGACGAUCAGUAGCUGGUCUGAGAGGAUGAUCAGCCACAUUGGGACUGAGACACGGCCCAAACUCCUACGGGAGGCAGCAGUGGGGAAUAUUGGACAAUGGGCGAAAGCCUGAUCCAGCCAUGCCGCGUGAGUGAUGAAGGCCUUAGGGUUGUAAAGCUCUUUCACCGGUGAAGAUAAUGACGGUAACCGGAGAAGAAGCCCCGGCUAACUUCGUGCCAGCCGCCGCCGUAA
rnacentral:rRNA from 1 species